rnacentral:rRNA from 1 species
GGUUAAGUAGGUAAGGGCGCACAAUGGAUGCCUUGGCAUCAGUAGGCGAUGAAGGACGUGAUAAGCUGCGAUAAGCUUCGGGUAGCGGCAAAUACGCAUUGAUCCGGAGAUUUCCGAAUGGGGAAACCCGUUUCCGUUAAUACGGUUACACUGGAGUUUGAAUAAAAUAGGGCUUCAGGGCGACACCGGGGGAAGUGAAACAUCUCAGUACCCCGAGGAAGAGAAAACAAAUAGUGAUUCCGUAAGUAGUGGCGAGCGAACGCGGAACAGCCUAAACCAUCCCGCUUGCGGGGUGGGGUUGCGGGACCUCAACAUGGUAUUCCGAAUGGAUAGUGGAACGCAUCUGGACAGAUCGGCCACAGAGGGUGAUAGCCCCGUACACGAAAUCCUGAAGGAGCCUAGAGGUAUCCCAAGUAGGGCGGGACACGUGAAAACCUGUCUGAAUCCGGGGGGCCCACCCCCCAAGGCUAAAUACUCACUGAUGACCGAUAGCGAACUAGUACCGCGAGGGAAAGGUGAAAAGUACCCCUGUUAGGGGAGUGAAAUAGUACCUGAAAUUGUGUGCCUACAAGCUAUGGUAGUCCUGCUUCGGCGGGAUGACCGUUUGCCUUUUGCAUAAUGAGUCUGCGAGUUACAGUAUGCGGCGAGGUUAAGCCCUUACGGGGAAUAGCCGAAGCGAAAGCGAGUGUGAAAUGCGCGUCACAGUCGUAUGCUGUAGACCAGAAGCCGGGUGAGCUACCCAUGGCCAGGCUGAAACUUCUGUAACAGGAAGUGGAGGGCCGAACCAUUGCGUGUUGAAAAACGCUUGGAUGAGCUGUGGGUUGGAGUGAAAGGCUUAUCAAACCCGGUGAUAGCUGGUUCUCCUCGAAAUAGCUUUAGGGCUAGCCUGCACGAUCGCUCGUAGCGGAGGUAGAGCACUGACUGGAUGAUGGCCCUCACCAGGGUACUGACGCCAAUCAAACUCCGAAUGCCGCUACAGACACGUGUGGAGUCAGACUGCGAGGGAUAAGCUUCGUAGUCGAAAGGGAAACAGCCCAGACCGCCAGCUAAGGCCCCAAAAAUCGGUUAAGUGAUUAAGGAUGUGAAACUGCAAUGACAGCUAGGAUGUUGGCUUAGAGGCAGCCACCAUUUAAACAGUGCGUAACAGCUGACUAGUCGAGUGGUUCUGCGCCGAAAAUGAUCGGGACUAAACCGGUUGCCGAAGCUGCGGAUUCGCGGCAUGCCUUCGGGCAUGCGUGAGUGGUAGAGGAGCGUUCCAUGUCGGGUUGAAGCGAAAGGGUAACCGAUCGUGGACUACAUGGAAGUGAUUAUGCAGACAUGAGUAACGAAAAGUAAGGUGAGAAUCCUUACCGCCGUAAUCCUAAGGUUUCCUGGGGAAGGUUCGUCCGCCCAGGGUUAGUCGGUCCCUUAGCCCAGGCCGAAAGGCGUAGGUGAUGGACAACAGGCUAAAUAUUCCUGUACUGGCAAUUCGGUGUUUGAGCGAUGGAGUGACACAGGAGGCUAGGUCAGCCACCGAUUGGAAGUGGUGGUCUAAGCCCGUAGGGGGUCUUGGCAGGUAAAUCCACCGAGACAUCAACCCUGAAAGGUAAUGGGACGUGGAGCCCUAGUGGUGAAGCGGAUUGAUUGAUGCCAUGCUGUCGAGAAAAGCUUCGUAGUGAAUCGAACAGCCAACCGUACCAAAACCGACACAGGUGGGAAGGUAGAGUAUACCAAGGCGCGCGAGAGAAACCUCGUUAAGGAACUCGGCAAUCUAGCCCCGUAACUUCGGGAGAAGGGGUCCUUCUGAAUGUGAUCUUACGUGAGCAUUCGGAAGGCGCAGUGAAAGGGCCCAGGCGACUGUUUAGCAAAAACAUAGCACUCUGCUAACUGGCAACAGGACGUAUAGAGUGUGACACGUGACCAAUGCCAAAAGGUUAAGGCAAGGGGUUAGUCUUCGGACGAAGCUCCGACCCGAAGCCCUGGUGAAUGUCGGCCGUAACUAUAACGGUCCUAAGGUAGCGAAAUUCCUUGUCGGGUAAGUUCCGACCUGCACGAAUCGUGUAACGAUCUGGGCGCUGUCUCAACGAGGAUCUCGGUGAAGUUGUAAUUCCGGUGAAGAUGCCGGAUACCCGCAGUAGGACGGAAAGACCCCGUGAACCUUUACUGUAUUCUGAUAUUGGCGUUUGGUUUGCCAUGUGUAGUAUAGCUGGGAGGCUUUGAAGUCAUCUCGUCAGGGAUGGUGGAGCCAUUAGUGAAAUACCAGUCUUGACAAGGCGACCGUCUAACCCUGGCCCGUGAAUCCGGGUGGGGGACAAUGUCAGAGGGUCAGUUUGACUGGGGCGGUUUCCUCCAAAAGCGUAACGGAGGAGUUCGAAGGUCCACUCAGCAUGGUCGGCAAUCAUGCGUAGAGCGCAAUGGUAAAUAGUGGGCUUAACUGCGAGACCUACAAGUCGAGCAGAUGCGAAAGCAGGACAUAGUGAUCCGGUGGUUGCUUGUGGUAGCGCCAUCGCUCAUCGGAUAAAAGGUACUCCGGGGAUAACAGGCUGAUAGCGGCCGAGAGUUCACAUCGACGCCGCUGUUUGGCACCUCGAUGUCGGCUCAUCUCAUCCUGGGGCUGGAGAAGGUCCCAAGGGUUUGGCUGUUCGCCAAUUAAAGAGGUACGCGAGCUGGGUUCAGAACGUCGUAAGACAGUUCGGUCCUUAUCCACUGUGGGCGUAGGAGAUUUGAGGAGAACAUUCCCUAGUACGAGAGGACCGGGAAUGACGUACCUCUGGUGUUCCUGUUGUCGUGCCAACGGCAUCGCAGGGUAGCUAUGUACGGAACGGAUAAGCGCUGAAAGCAUCUAAGCGCCAAGCCUCCUCCAAGACUAGAUCUCCCUUGGACUUCGGUCCACUUAAGGCAGGUUGAAGACUACGACCUUGAUAGGCUGGGUGUGUAAGCACAGCGAUGUGUUAAGCUAACCAGUACUAAUCAGCCGUGAGACUUAACCAU